UUUUUUUUUCCAGGGCCCCCAACCCAAGKAGKCAUUAUAGUUUUAAUGUUAGUUUAAGUUUCACAGGUCUUCUGUCYUGGKGAAAAUUCAAGUUUUUUAGUAGAGAUCAGUUUAAUUAUUUAUUAUAAGAGACAGCUAGCCCUCAUUUGCCUUUCAUACAGGUCUAUAAUUAGUAGCCAAAUGAUUAUGCUACCUUGCACGGUUAGGGUAACCGCGGCCGUUAAAUUUUCACUGGGCAGGCGGAAUCGCCUGUUUAUCAAAAACAUAACCUUUAGCAAAACAAAUAUUAAAGGCGACGCCUGCCCAGUGAACAAUUAAACGGCCGCGGUACCCUAACCGUGCAAAGGUAGCAUAAUCAUUUGUCUACUAAUUAUAGACCUGUAUGAAAGGCAAAAUGAGGGCCUAGCUGUCUCUUAUAAUAAAUCAAUUAAACUGAUCUCCUAGUAAAAAAGCUAGAAUUAUCACACAAGACCAGAAGACCCUGUGAAGCUUAAACUAAACCAUUAAACCUAAUAAUGACUACUUUGGGUUGGGGCGACCUUGGAAAAAAAAAGAACUUCCAAAAAUUAUGGCUAUACACCACUAAAACCAAGACCGACGGGCCAACAAACUAGACCCAGCAAAGCUGACAAAUGAACCAAGUUACUCCAGGGAUAACAGCGCAAUCUUCUUCAAGAGCCCAUAUCAAAAAGAAGGUUUACGACCUCGAUGUUGGAUCAGGACAUCCUAAUGGUGCAGCCGCUAUUAAAGGUUCGUUUGUUCAACGAUUAACAGUCCUACGUGAUCUGAGUUCAGACCGGA
rnacentral:rRNA from 1 species